UACGUAGGGGGCAAGCGUUGUCCGGAAUCAUUGGGCGUAAAGAGCGUGUAGGCGGCCCGAUAAGUCCGCCGUGAAAGUCCAAGGCUCAACCUUGGGAUGCCGGUGGAAACUGUCGGGCUCGAGUCCGGAAGAGGCGAGUGGAAUUCCUGGUGUAGCGGUGAAAUGCGCAGAUAUCAGGAGGAACACCAAUGGCGAAGGCAGCUCGCUGGGACGGCACUGACGCUGAGACGCGAAAGCGUGGGGAGCAAACAGG
rnacentral:rRNA from 1 species